rnacentral:rRNA from 1 species
UAACCGUGGCUCAGUUCAGAUCGUAGGCUGCAACUCGCCUACGUGAAGGCGGAAUCGCUAGUAAUCGCAGGUCAGCAUACUGCGGUGAAUACGUUCCCGGGCCUUGUACACACCGCCCGUCACACCAUGGAAGUUGGCCACGCCCGAAGCCGUUACUCCAACCCUUGUGGAGGAGGACGUCGAAGGUGGGGCUGAUGACUGGGGUGAAGUCGUAACAAGGUAUCCGUACCGGAAGGUGCGGAUGGAUCACCUCCUAACA